rnacentral:rRNA from 1 species
GUGUCAGCCGCCGCGGUAAUACGAAGGUCCCAAGCGUUGUUCGGAAUCACUGGGCGUAAAGGGAGCGUAGGCGGCGUGGUAAGUCAGAUGUGAAAUCCCGGGGCUCAACCCCGGAACUGCAUCCGAUACUGCCGUGCUUGAGGGUUGGAGAGGUGACUGGAAUUAUCGGUGUAGCAGUGAAAUGCGUGGAUAUCGAUAGGAACACUCGUGGCGAAGGCGAGUCACUGGACAACAUCUGACGCUGAGGCUCGAAGGCUAGGGGAGCAAAAGGGAUUAGAUACCCUUGUAGUCC